AGAGGGUGCGAGCGUUAAUCGGAAUUACUGGGCGUAAAGGGCGCGUAGGUGGUUAUUUAAGUUAGCUGUGAAAUACCAGGGCUUAACCUUGGGUAGUCAGCUAAUACUGGAUAACUAGAGUACAGUAGAGGGUAGUGGAAUUUCCGGUGUAGCGGUGAAAUGCGUAGAUAUCGGAAGGAACAUCGGUGGCGAAGGCGGCUACCUGGACUGAUACUGACACUGAGGCGCGAAAGCAUGGGUAGCGAACAGGGAUUAGAUACCCUGGUAGUCCAUGCUGUAAACGAUGACAACUAGCUGUUGGAAGCUUUGAGCUUUCAGUAGCGCAGCUAACGCGAUAAGUUGUCCCGCCUGGGGAGUACGGCCGCAAGGCUA
rnacentral:rRNA from 1 species